rnacentral:lncRNA from 10 species
AACGUGAGUUGGGGAGAGAGAGACACACACACACGGACAGAGACGGGAGAGGAGAGAGAGAUGAAGAGAUAGAGAGGAGGAGAGGGAAGGGAGGAUAGGCAGGAGAGAGCCAAAAAGAUAGAGAGUGAAAGGAAGAGAGAGAUAAGAGAGAAGGAAAGAUGAGAGGGAGGAAGAUGGAGAAAGUAGAAGAGCAGGAAACAACAGUUGGAGAGAGAGAAAGAAGGAGAGAGAGAAAGAGAGACACUGAGCCCUGGGGACAGAGGGAAGGACAGCUGGGCUGGAGGCAGGGGGCCUGGGAGCCUGGUCAAGUCAGUCCAUGAGGCUGCUCUGAGACGUCACUGGGGGCAGGGAGAGAGUUAUCCAGAACUUUAGUACAGUCUUCUUUCUAGAAAACAGUGCUACCAGAAAGGGCUUAUGUCCAGAUCUGAGGUGCACUUACUUGUUCCCGAAGAUCCAAAUCUAAGUUGCUUUUAGAUUCUACUCUGUGCUUCCACGGAGUCUACUCUAACGACCUUGGCCAGGUCUCUGGCCUCCAUCAAGGAACGACCAGAAUUCCUGGGUCUGGCCACAGGUUUUGGCCCCGCCUCAGAGGGUUGGGUGAGGGGGCUUAGCAGGUGUAGGAGAGCUUGCUCUGGGCAGUAGCUGUGGGCCUUACUUCUGUAUUUGCCGCAGUAUCUGAUUUGCCCUGUAGAGCAUUUAUGUCACUAGGUUUUUACAAAAGUUGCUUUUUGACUUAUUGCCUUAGUGACGAGUUGUCAGGUUUUUCUCUGUUUAAGUGGCUACAGCUGAAUAGCUCAGGCCAAACUUAAAGCUCACACUUGAGACUUGACGUGCUCAGCUCCUGCUAAAGAGGCUCCAGGGCAGCGCCUGCCUUUCCGGGAAGCUCCCCUGAGGGUCACCGAGGCUGCAGAGAACACCCGGUGAUGACUGCAUGGAUCUCCUUCAUCUGCUGGGAUUCAAGCUGUGUUGCUGACACCACACUGAUGCCCAGCACCUUCCUCUCCCAGCCCCCGCCUGGGACUUGGCACCCUGAUUGGUCCAAGCAGCAGCCCAUGACUAGACUGUGGUCCAGGCUGGCGAGUCCAGGAUGAGAGCAUACUUGUCUCCAAACCAGCAUCUCCUAAUGAAAAGAAGCAGCAGCUUAAAAUCAUCUGAUCAAGGGCUGAUCCUUCAUGUUCCCAGGCUCUGGGUGAAGCAGGGAGAUGCUCAUUUGUGCCUCUGUGCAAUACUGGGGAUCUCUGGACUCCAUGAAUAGAGUGGCUGCCAUCAUAAUGGAGAGAUUUGUCUUUUCAUGGGUUUGGACCACAAUGACUCAAAACCACUCUGUUUGACAGAAAGACAUUCUUCUUUUUAAAGUUGAGCUUGCGACAUGGCUAAGCAACGUAAUAUCUUUUGAUGUUGAUGUUUUAGUUUAAAUUUAGUUGGGUUUCAGCCAAAACAUAAACUAAGAGAUAUUGGAAAAGACCUUGGUUUGAAGGACCUACCCUCCUCUUCACUGGACUAGAUCUGAUGCUACCCAUUGGUAUGGGAGGAGAGGUUAAACCUAGAGAGUUCACUUCCUACGUGGCUGGGGCCUAGGACUAGUUAACAUUUGCAUCUCAGCUGUGGGGCAUUGAUGGGGUGUGGCAGGAAAAAGAUUCAAGGAGGGAGACAUAUUUCCACAAGAAAAGAUGUUCUUCUCCAUCCCUUUUGGGAAAGAUAUGAUAUUUCCGAUGGGGAUACAGAGAAGGAGAUGCUUGGGGUGAUGGGGCCAACCUGCAAAUAGGAUAGCUAGGUUAAAAGUCCAGGGAUCCCACUUCUGAAGGGUGGAUAUCUUGUGAGACACAAGGAAAAGUCCAAAUUCACUAGAAAUAUGCCACUUUGCCAACUAGAGACUUCCUUUUGAAAUCGGCCUAUUCC